CCUACGGGGGGCAGCAGUGGGGAAUAUUGCGCAAUGGGCGAAAGCCUGACGCAGCGACGCCGCGUGAGGGAUGAAGGUCUUCGGAUCGUAAACCUCUGUCAGCAGGGAAGAACGGUCACUGUGCUAAUCAGCAGUGAAUUGACGGUACCUGCAAAGGCAGCACCGGCUAACUCCGUGCCAGCAGCCGCGGUAAUACGGAGGGUGCGAGCGUUAAUCGGAAUUACUGGGCGUAAAGCGCUCGUAGGCGGUAUGUCAAGUCAAGGGUGAAAUCCCCGCGCUCAACGUGGGAACUGCCUUUGAAACUGGCAAACUGGAGUGUGUGAGAGGAGAGUGGAAGUCCAGGUGUAGGAGUGAAAUCCGUAGAUAUCUGGAGGAACAUCAGUGGCGAAGGCGACUAUCUGGAACAUAACUGACGCUGAGGAGCGAAAGCGUGGGUAGCAAACAGGAUUAGAUACCCUAGUAGUC
rnacentral:rRNA from 1 species